rnacentral:lncRNA from 1 species
ACCCCUGACGCCACUACUCUCUGUAACAAACUCCGUGUGGCUCUGAACGGCCCACGACUAGGCGGUUACAAACAUCGCUGUCAAUCGGUUAUGCUCUCCAUCUAUAAAAAGGGACCCCCAGAUACGUUCUUCUCUAAGCUCUAAACUCUAUCCCAAAACUCUGCUAAAAUUUUUACUCGAGCACUCCAUUUCUGUUGAGGCAGAGUAUUGACUUGAGCGUCGGAGGGUCUUGACGGAGCACCCCCAACUCUGAUUUAGACUUUCCUUGCAGGUCCCGAUGGCGAUCGCGGUCAUCUCAACUCCAGCAACUCCGACUUCAGCGAAAUUCUGCACCA